GACGAACGCUGGCGGCGUGCUUAACACAUGCAAGUCGAACGGAAAGGCCCUGCUUGCAGGGUACUCGAGUGGCGAACGGGUGAGUAACACGUGGGUGAUCUGCCCUGCACUUCGGGAUAAGCUUGGGAAACUGGGUCUAAUACCGGAUAGGAGCCAUCUUUAGUGUGGUGGUUGGAAAGUUUUUUCGGUGUAGGAUGAGCUCGCGGCCUAUCAGCUUGUUGGUGGGGUAAUGGCCUACCAAGGCGGCGACGGGUAGCCGGCCUGAGAGGGUGUACGGCCACAUUGGGACUGAGAUACGGCCCAGACUCCUACGGGAGGCAACAGUGGGGAAUAUUGCACAAUGGGCGCAAGCCUGAUGCAGCGACGCCGCGUGGGGGAUGAAGGCCUUCGGGUUGUAAACUCCUUUCGCUAGGGACGAAGCUUUUUGUGACGGUACCUAGAUAAGAAGCACCGGCUAACUACG
rnacentral:rRNA from 1 species